rnacentral:misc_RNA from 1 species
GAUGAAGAACGCAGCGAAAUGCGAUACGUAAUGUGAAUUGCAGAAUUCAGUGAAUCAUCGAAUCUUUGAACGCAUAUUGCGCUCUCUGGUAUUCCGGAGAGCAUGCUUGUUUGAGUAUCAGUAAACACCUCAACUCCCUUUUCUUUUUUGAAAUUGGAGCUGGACUUGAGUGAUCCCAACGCUUUCUUCCAAGAAAGUGGCGGGUUGCUUGAAAUGCAGGUGCAGCUGAACUUUUCUCUGAGCUAUAAGCAUAUCUAUUUAGUCUGCCUAAAAAACAGAUUAUUACCUUUGCUGCAGCUAACAUAAAGGAGACUAGUUCUUGUGCUGACUGAUGCAGGAUUCACAGAGACAGCUUCGGCUGACUUUGUAAACUCGAUCUCAAAUCAAGUAAGACUACCCGCUGAACUUAAGCAUAUCAAUGAGCGGAGGA